ACACAUGCAAGUCGAGGGGAAACGACAUCGAAAGCUUGCUUUUGAUGGGCGUCGACCGGCGCACGGGUGAGUAACGCGUAUCCAACCUGCCCACCACUUGGGGAUAACCUUGCGAAAGUAAGACUAAUACCCAAUGAUAUCUCUAGAAGACAUCUGAAGGAGAUUAAAGAUUUAUCGGUGAUGGAUGGGGAUGCGUCUGAUUAGCUUGUUGGCGGGGUAACGGCCCACCAAGGCUACGAUCAGUAGGGGUUCUGAGAGGAAGGUCCCCCACAUUGGAACUGAGACACGGUCCAAACUCCUACGGGAGGCAGCAGUGAGGAAUAUUGGUCAAUGGACGAGAGUCUGAACCAGCCAAGUAGCGUGCAGGAUGACGGCCCUAUGGGUUGUAAACUGCUUUUAUAAGGGAAUAAAGUGAGUCUCGUGAGACUUUUUGCAUGUACCUUAUGAAUAAGGACCGGCUAAUUCCGUGCCAGCAGCCGCGGUAAUACGGAAGGUCCGGGCGUUAUCCGGAUUUAUUGGGUUUAAAGGGAGCGUAGGCCGGAGAUUAAGCGUGUUGUGAAAUGUAGAUGCUCAACAUCUGCACUGCAGCGCGAACUGGUUUCCUUGAGUACGCACAAAGUGGGCGGAAUUCGUGGUGUAGCGGUGAA
rnacentral:rRNA from 1 species